CUAGCUCCCUGACCAGGGAUUGAACCCAUGCCCCCUGCAUUGGGAGCGCAGUCUUAUCCACUGCACCACCAGGGAAGUCCCCUCAUUCUAGUACUUCUGUGGACUACAGGGCCCAGAAACCACAGAUCUCCCCAAGCAGUGUGUUCUGACAGAAAGAGCUAGAAAGACACAGGGGUGAGUCUCAGCUCUCCAUUUUCUGUUUGGACAAGUUACUUAAUCUUCCCAGUGUUUCCAAGUCUGUAAGAUGUUUAGUAAGACUGACCUCAAGGAUUGUAGUACCAAUAAUAUGAGAUAAUGUGGGCAAAGCACACAGCCCAGAGCCUGAUAAUAGGAAUUCAGCAAAUUGUGAUCUGACCCCCUCCCCCUUCCCCAGGGUGUGCUGGAAUUUACCCACUGUGCUUUCUACUUUAAAUCCUUUUUGGAACAGUCUCCACAAUAAACUAGCAAACAAUAAAAUACAGACCUCCUUUUCUCUCUCCUUUCCCCCUUUCUUCUUUCUUCCUCUGCCUUUUCUAUGUGGUCCUUUUCUUCCCUUUCUGUUCUUUAUUUCUCGUGUGUAUGUGUCUGUUAUUUGUUUUCUGCUUCUCCUACCAUACCUUAGCCAGGGUCAGGGAGCAGUUAACCAAGUAUUUUCACUGUGAGAAUCAAAUCAGAAGAUAAAAGGAGUCAAAAGAGAAAAGUAUUCUAGAAUGGAGCCAAGUUUCUCACUUCAUGCCCCCAGCAUUAGAAAACACAUUAUCGGUAUAGAUCUAAACCAUUGUGGGCUAGGUGAAAUUUAGGGGGAAGACUCCCUAACCUGUCUUUAGUAUGGCCAGACCACCCUUUUCUCCCUUCACAUCUUACUGAUUUGUUUGCAGUGAUGGACUUCAAGGUCAAAAGACAGAACUGUGUCAGGCAGGCCCUUUUGGGUUCCCAGAAGCAGAGGGGGAUGAGGCAGUGGGAGGAGAGGCCAUAAGGAUGGUAGAAAGAGAAAUGAACUGUGAGAGGAUGGCAGAAUUGGAGCUCCUUGGGCUAGAGACCUUGACCAAAUCAUUCUCCUUUCUGCUUCCUUAUUUCUCUCUUUAUGAAAUGAAUAAUUAUCACCUGUCUUGUAAGGUGGUUAGGAGGAUCAAAUAUGAAAGUGCUUAUGAAAUGUGAAAUAGAUAAACUGCUGCUUAGAUGAAACAUCAUAAUUUACAUUUAUUCAACUACAGAGCACCUAUUUCACGACAUCCAUUGCUAGGCACUGGAAAAACAAAGAUAAGAAAGGGUCUUUCUAAGAAACUCAAAAGCUAGAGGGUAUUUUUAGGAUAAUGGGUACAAUGGGGUCUUUAGACAGUGGACCUAAAGACUUAAGAACUAGAAUUGGCCUAAAGAUCGGUAUGAUCAAGCUACUGAAAGUGCAGAGGGAUAAUAACAGUCUCAAGAUACCUUCACCCAGUAGGUGUGCCCCAAACUUUCUACGGUGUGUGUCACCAAGGUGAGGGCUGAAGCAGUUCAAAUGCUUCAUGAGCAGGAGGAAGCCAUGGGACGACGUGGAGGGUCCCCACAGAGAAUGGAGCCUCUUCAGCGUCGGAAACCACAGGAAACCAGGUCAAUGCGUGGGGCCCACUCCCUCAGCUCCAGGGCUCAGCUAUGGGACCUGGGGCUUCCUGAGCAGACUGUACUGAUGAGUGGAUCCUUGAAGCUGGAGGCCCUUUGGCAGAAGUGCUGGAACUGGCCAACGGGUAGAGAGAGAAAGCUGGACCCUAGUCCUGAAAGUCAGCCAGGUGGGAGCCAGGAUGCACAGGGUGACAUGUGAGGUUUACGUGCUUUUUUGUUCUGCCCACCUCUAAGUGGUGCAUCAGUCACCUCGGUCUCCAGCACCCACUGCAGAGAAGUGCUUCAUGGCUCUGUCAGUCUUUUAAGUGAGAGGAUGAAGCACGUGUCCAGGGGAGAUUCAAGGCCAGGAGCACGCUAAGGGGCGGGUCUGAUCUGCAGGGUGUUGCAGGAGUAGGAGGAGUUACGAAGUGGGUGCAGCCGCCAUCCAUCCCCCUGACCCUGUGCCAGCCUCUUGCCUGUUAUUUCUCUGCCAGAGCAGGAGCCCCCUUGCCCUCCAGGUAGGGGAGUAGGGCUUUCUGGGGGGCAAGUGUCCUUCAGUCCCUCCACUUGGAGGAGAAGGAAUGUGGCCUGGCCGGCUGGUUGAGCUUGAGGAGGAGCUUUGGGGCAGGGCGGGGCAGGGGCAGGCUGAGGCGAGGGCUCCUGCUGGCACUGCACUCCCUGCUGCUGCACGGCAAGGCCCUGCCACCCACCUUCAGGAGGCGCAGCCAUGUUCUGGAUACCCUGAUCCCUCGGAAGCCCAUGGGGAGCCCCGGACUGGCAGCCCUGCUCCUGCCUCUUGUCCAGCUGCUCCUUGGCCUGUCUGCCUCUGCUAGUAUUGGCUGCCCCUACCUUCCCAGCUGGAGCACCCUCUGUCUGCUGGCCUCCCACAUGGAUGACAGUUUCACUGGAAGGUCUGCCCAGAUUCCUCGCCAUACCCUAUCGGCCUUUCCCCCCUCCCCAAAGCCUUGGCGUGCUUGGCUCUGCCACUGUCCCUGCUGUUGGUGCCUGCAUCUGGUGUCAGAUCCUUCGGGUCUUCAGUGGGACUGGCUCCACCUCCUGGUGCAGAAAUCCAAAAAGUCUUACAAGUUCCGGUUCUGUAGGAGGCACACGAUGCCAGCAUCUGCUCAGACACCUCCCACAAGGGGCUGCGUUCCAAAAGAACCCAACCUGCAGAUCCAGAGAAAGGGGAAGUUCUCUCCAAACGUGGCUCACAAAGGCUUGGAGGUAGGCACAUCGUGUGACUGGAGAUGGUGGAGCCAAGUAGUGGUACCUGUGCUAAGGCCAAAAGACAAGGCCACCAAGUCCCCCUUCUCCCCAGGGCCUGAGUUCUCCUUUGACUUGCUGCCUGAGGCACGGGUUAUUCAAGUGACCAUUCCUCCAGGCCCUGAGGUCAGUGUGCGUCUUUGCCACCAGUGGGCACUGGAGUGUGAGGAGCUGAGCCGUCCCUUUGAUGCCCAGAAAAUUGUGUCUGGGGGCUGCACUGUAGACCUGCCUUAUGAAUUCCUUCUGCCCUGUCUGUGCAUCGAGGUGUCCUACCUGCAAGAAGACACCGUGAGGCACAAAAAGUGUCCCUUCCAGAGCUGGCCUGAAGCCUAUGGCUCGGACUUCUGGGAGUCGGUGAACUUUACUGACCACAGCCAGCACAGUCAGAUGGUCAUGGCCCUGACACUCCGCUGCCCACUGAAGCUGGACGCCUCCCUCUGCCAGAGGCGGGGCUGGCACACCCUCUGCGAAGACGUCCCCAAUGCCACGGCUCGAGAGUCAGAGGGGUGGUAUGUCUUGGAGAAGGUGGACUUGCACCCCCAGCUCUGCUUCAAGUUCUCUUUUGGAAACAGCAGCCACGUUGAAUGCCCCCACCAGACAUUCGGUGAGCCAAUAAGUGACCCUGGCUGGGACCCCUUCCCACCAUUUCACCCUCAUGCAACUGCAGCAAAGCCAAACUCUAUCCCUGCCCUGACUUCUCUGUUAACUGCAGCCCGGCUUCUAUCACCUCCCACAAACCAUCAUCUAUUACAUGAUGCCCUUUCCUACCCCCUGGCAGCCCCAUCCUGGAACGUGAGCAUGGAUACCCAGGCCCAGCAGCUGGUCCUUCACUUCUCCUCAAGGAUGCCCGCCACCUUCAGUGCUGCCUGGAGCCACUCAGGCUUGGGGCAGGACAGCAUGGUACCUCCUGUGUACAACGUCAGCCAGACUCAGGGCUCAAGCUCAGUGACACUAGACCUCAUCGUUCCCUUCCCGAGGCCAGGGGGCUGUGUCCUGGUGUGGAGGUCAGAUGUCCAGUUUGCCUGGAAGCACCUCCUGUGUCCGGAUGUCUCUCAUAGGCUCCUGGGGCUCUUGAUCCUGGUACUGCUGGCCUUCACCACCCUACUGGGUGUUGUUCUGGUGCUCACCUGCCAGCGCCCACUGUCAGGCCCAGGUCGAGCGCGGCCGGUGCUGCUCCUGCACGUGGCGGACUCCGAGGCGCAGCGGCGCCUGGUGGGAGCGCUGGCUGAACUGCUGCGGGCCGCGCUGGGCGGCGGGCGCGACGUGAUCGUGGACCUGUGGGAGGGCACGCGGGUGGCGCGCGUGGGCCCGCUGCCGUGGCUCUGGGCGGCACGGGCGCGCGUGGCGCGGGAGCGGGGCACCGUGCUGCUGCUGUGGAGCUGCGCCAGCCCGAGCCCCGCCGGCGGCCCGGAUGCCCGCGCCGCACCCCUGCACACCCUGCUCCGCGCCGCCCCGCGUCCGCUGCCGCUGCUCGCUUACUUCAGUCGCCUCUGCGCCAAAGGCGACAUUCCUCCGCCCCUGCGCGCCCUGCCCCGCUACCGCCUGCUUCAAGACCUGCCGCGCCUGCUGCGGGCGCUGGACGCGCGGACUUCUACUCAAGCCACCAGCUGGGGCCGCCUCGCGGCCCGGCCGUGCCUGCGGGGUCGCGUGGAGCUGUGCCGCCAGCUGGAACGCGAGGCCGCCAAACUUGCCGAUCAAGGCUGAGCAGAGCUCACCGCAGUCCAGAUGUCUGUGGCCGCAGGCCUAGGGGCACUGGCUGGAAGCCCCGAAUGAGGCUUCUACCCUGGAAUCGUUGGAUGCCUCCUAGGGGCCACUGGCCACAAAGCCUUACGCUACCUCCCAGCCCGGGAGCGGGGCAUCACACUCACUGUCCCAGCCCGUUCCCCACGUUCCCCCAGGGUCCAGUCUCUUCCUCAUGCUUAUGCUUGAGGGUUCUCUCCCUCAGAGCCCCCAGGGAGAGUCACUCUUUCCUGAGAACUCCUCUGACCUCAGUGCUGUUGUGAGUGGGGGAUCGUCCCACUUCCUCUCUCCGAAAUUCCAGAGAAUAGUCGUCUGCACGUGCUCCAGUCCAGGCCAGAGAGGUUGGGACAGGGGUUGGGGAGGCAGGAGACAUGGCAGCUCUGAGUGGGAGGUGGCUGCAGAGGGGGUGGGGGGACAGAAACCCCUUUGGGAGCCAGGGAUCCCCCUUUUCCAGACCGGUGCCCUGCCCAGAGUGGGAGGAAGGGAGGGAGGGAGGGCUCUGGACCCUGGGAAGGAGGCUUUGGCCCUGGGUGAUGGGGGCAAAGGUGGGACAGUGGAGACUGAGAUAGAGAAAGUUGAAUAAAGGUGAACAUGAUGGAUAAACUAAGAAACACAAGGUGCUUUUCCAGUGUGCCCGGGGUGCUGAGUUGGGGGAAGGGUCAGCAAGACCCUGCCUGGCGGUUGUUAUGCAUCAUUUUCUGGGCCCAAAUCCACAUCCAUGUCUGUCAUAUUCUCACAAGCAGUGUCUCCCUGGAAAUUUCCUUGAUCCUCACUGUGAUUCUUCAGAGAGAAGAGAAGAAAACACAGGUUCAGAAAGGUGGUGUGGGGCCACAGUCACGCAGCCAGCCCAUGGCAACAGCACAAAUAGGACCCUGUCUUCCUGGCUCUGGGUCCUGGGUCCCAUCCACCCCUACCCCUCGCUUGAGCAUAGGCCGGGAAGAGGCGAAAAGCUCAUGUUACGGUGCCCCUCGUCCCUGUCUUUAGAGAUCGUGUCCCACAGUGAGGCCCAAGGGGAAUGUCUGAAGGGACCUGGGGUGGCCAGUAAGAGGGGCCCCGUGGACACCAAGAUCCCAGAGUCACGUGGGAAGUGCAAAUGCCCCAGGAUUGCCUAAGGCCUUGGUUGUCUCAAUGGAGACUUCCUCCUUAGGGACUCCCAGAGUGAGUAAGAGCUCCCUCACUCAGCCAUUAGGCCACCACCCUCUCCAGGGGCCCCUCCCAGCCAGGUGUCAGCAGAGAAGGAGGAGAAGGGGAAGAGGAGGAGAGGAAAAGAGGGAGGGAGUGAGGCCACCACUCAGGUCCAGGCUGCUGGCUCCCAGGCCUGGUGUUGGUGGGAGGGGCCGGGCGGGGCGGGAACAGCCGGCUGCCUGCCAGGAGCCAAAACGAAAGCACUCCGGCAGGGACUGGAUGGGAGUCACGACUCCUGGGAGAGGGCGUGCGCAAGCGGCCCAGCGCCGGGACCCCGAGACUGGGGAGGGCUUCCGGCCCCUCCUGCCCGCAGGCACGCAGCUGAGUGGGAGAAGAGGUGUGGUGUCAGCCCCCCUUCGGGGGGCGGGCAGGACAGGGCCUCAGGCCUGGGUGCUGCCUGGCACCUGGAAGAUGCCUGUGCCCUGGUUCUUUCUGUCCUUGGCACUGGGCCGAAACCCUGUGGUCCUCUCUCUAGAGAGGGUUGCGGGGCCUCAGGACACUGCCCGCUGCUCUCCGGGCCUUUCCUGCCACCUCUGGGAUGGUGAUGUGCUCUGCCUGCCUGGGAGCCUCGUGUCUGCCCCAGGCCCCGUGCUGGUGCCCACAGGCCUGCAGACAGAGCUGGUGCUAAGGUGCUACAAGGAUACCGACUGUGACCUCUGUGUGCGUGUGGAUGUCCACUUGGCUGUGCAUGGGUACUGGGAAGAGCCUGAAGAUGAAGAGACGUUUGGAAUUGCAGAGGACCCAGCGAUCGAGGAGCCUAGGAACGCCUCUCUCCAGGCCCACGUCGUGCUCUCCUUCCAGGCCUACCCUACUGCCCGCUGCGUCCUACUGGAGGUGCGAGUGCCUGCUGCCCUCGUGCAGCCUGGUCAGUCUGUGGGCUCUGUAGUAUUUGAGUGCUUCCAGGCUGCCCUGGGGGCUGAGGUGCGAAUCUGGUCCUACACUCAGCCCCGGUACCAGAAGGAACUCAAUCUCACACAGCAGCUGCCUGACUGCAGGGGUCUUGAAGUCCGGGACAGCAUUCAGAGCUGCUGGGCCCUGCCCGUGCUCAACGUGUCUGCAGAUGGCAAUGACGUGCACCUGGUGGUGGACAUCCCUGAGGAUCAGCGCUUUGGCCUCUCCCUGUACUGGAACCAGGUCCCGGGCCCUGCAAAACCCUGGUGGCACAGGAACCUGACUGGGCCGCAGACCAUUACCUUGAACCACACAGACCUGGUUCCCUGCCUCUGUAUUCAGGUAUGGCGUCUAGAACCCGACUCUGUCAGGACCAGCAUCUGCCCCUUUAGGGAGGACCCCCGUGCACACCGGAACCUUUGGCGUGCCGCCCGGCUGCAGCUGCUGCCCCCGCGGGCCUGGCGGCUGGACGCGCCGUGCUCACUACCCGCUGAGGCCACACUGUGUUGGCAGGCACCGGAUGGGGGCCCCUGCCAGCCGCUGGUCCCACCGCUGCCCCGAGAGAAUGUCACUGUGAAUAAGGCUCUUGAGUUCCCAUUGCUGAAAGGCCACCCCAACAUCUGUGUCCAGGCAAGAAAGGGGCGCCAGAGAGCCAGGCUUGGGGUCAGGACCUCCCGGACUCCCAGUCACUGUCUUCUGAAUCCACUUUAUCCUUGGGUCCCUGGAGCAAAGUGGUUACCAGCUUCCUCUUUAGGGGUUCCACUACUUAUUUACCGGUGCAUGGCGCGGGACCCUGGGCACUUCACCUCUCUGAACAUCAGUCUCCUCAUCUGUUUAAUGGGGAUGAUAAUAGUAACUAUUGAAUACUUCAUAGAGUGGUUAUGAAGAUUAAACAAUGCUUCAUCUUAGCAACGGGCACAAACUAAAUUCUCAAUAAAUGUUAACUGCUUUGAUUAUUGCUAUAAUUAUCCUAUUUCUCUACCUGUAGAAAUGGGUUGCUUUAUAACUUCGAAGGGUAGUUAUAAAAAUAUUAAUUCCAGAUUUAUUGAGCCAUUAUGUUUCAGGCAC